CCGGCGAGCCUCUCGUCGCCAUGAGCGCAAGGGAGAAUGUGAGCAUGCGCGCAGUGCAUUCUGGGAAGUGACGUUUAAGCGACAGUGAUGCGGAGUUUUGACGAGCGGUUGUAGAACAGUCGCUGUGGAGUGUUUGACAGGACGAUAUGCGAGUGUAUACAUCAGGGGUCUGGGGGUCUCCACAUCGCAGUCCAGAGAAGGAGACGACACCGGCUGCAGCUCCAUCGCAUACAAGUGGACCACCCGAAUCCCCCUUAAGGAGAAAGGAAAGAAAACAUGUACCAAGCAGAAGCCUUGAAAGGCACGGCCACCCACGCCGCAAACCAUCCGUCUAGUGAUGGGAACUUGCCCCCAUCUCCUGCGACACUCCUGUGCCGAGAGGGUGGUGACGUUGACUUCUUGAAGCCUGAGUGGACGAUAUGCGAGUGUAUACAUCAGGGGUCUGGGGGUCUCCACAUCGCAGUCCAGAGAAGGAGACGACACCAGCUGCAGCUCCAUCGCAUACAAGUGGACCACCCGAAUCCCCCUUAAGGAGAAAGGAAAGAAAACAUGUACCAAGCAGAAGCCUUGAAAGGCACGGCCACCCACGCCGCAAACCAUCCGUCUAGUGAUGGGAACUUGCCCCCAUCUCCUGCGACACUCCUGUGCCGAGAGGGUGGUGACGUUGACUUCUUGAAGCCUGAGUGGUAAGGUGUUGUUAUCAUCUAUAGUCCCCCAGCCAGCUGUUAGACAUCGACUGUCUGCUCUCACCCUGCCAGGUUUCAGAGAAAUCGGCUGCACUGCUUCGGUCAGCUGGGCCCUGUUGUUAAGCUGAGGAGGAGAUUAAUGGUAGAAAAAUGUUAAUUGUGGGGUUUUUUGUAUAUUUUUGCAUCGUAUUUUAUGGUGUGGUGCAACAUAAUAAUUAGGGAUUUAUCUACAUUAAAUAUUACACAUUGUAGUAGACAGCAGUUAAAACUGCCCUCACCUGUAUGAGCAUUAUAUCAUUGCGAUGUCCAUCAUACUGUGGAUGUGGAAUGAGUCUAGCAGCUCUGAACUCCUGCUUUGUAGGCUCGUUACUUGUCAGGGAAUCAGCUCCAACCACCACGGUGUAUGUUCUAAAAAUCACAACAUUAUAUAUGGUGUGAUGUCAAGGCAUCUAUUAAUCUCUGUUUCCUCAUAACUCUGUGUCUCUGUAUGAGAGUGAAAACAUGAUUAACCUUUUAAAGCAUAAGUUUGUAGACUGAUUUACCAUCUGCAAAUAAGUUGUUUCCAGUACAGUUUAGUAGAACCAUUAAUUUGAGGAGACUUGCAUCAUAUACAGUGAUCCACAUUUUACUGCCUUUUUUGUCAAAGUUACCUAUUUUUGUGUCUGAAGGUACCAACAAAAGAGUUUACAAAAUUGCUCCUGCUCACAACUUACCUUCAGCAAUCAAAUGGAAUUAAACAGAUGUAUUGUU